rnacentral:sRNA from 1 species
UGUUGUGGUGACACCAACUGCCUGAGUGAUAUCCCUCCAGAGCCUAAGGGGUUCUGAAGCGGGCAAGUUCUCUAGGUUCCUCAGUAUAUUUAGGAGGGAGAAUCAUACACAUGCAGAGACCAGACCAAGGCAGAAGGAGGCCAGCCUUCUAUCACGUUGGAGAACAAGACAAGGAAAUGGUCCUGGGGAAGACCCAAGUUUGCUCAGAAGGCAUCAUCUCAACCGUCCACCAACCAUGUUGAGGAGGAGAGAAUGAAGCAUUUGGAGGACCUGAAAAUUGUUCUCCAGAAGAUGCCAAACGAGAGAGAUGAACGCCAGAGAAUACUGGCAUAUUACCCUAGAAACAAUUUAAAUGACAGCCUGAGGUACUCCAUCCUACGAAGUGAGUCUAUUCGGCUGAAGCACAAUGCCAAGAGAGCACAGAAUGAGAACAGGGAGUUUCUAUGGAACAAAUUGCACUGGAACAGUCCAUUAAGGAAACAGCGAGGUUCCGUGUGGAAGCCAGUAUGAAAAACCACGUAACAAGCAGCAUCAGGUCUGCAACACUCCAGCAGAAACUUGCACAGGGCCCAGACCAGGACUACAGCUCUCAGAGACAGAACUGUCCACCAGGAACACUGAGGGUGCAAAGACUGACAACACCUCCCGCAUCUCAGUUCUCAUAACCAUAACACUCUUGGGCUGCAUUUGAAAGACCUUGAGAUAUCAUAUGGAACAUGCCUAAUGUUUAACCUUUUGAGAACUUGUCCAUCAACAACCACCACCCCGAAUGAGGCAUGUCUACAUUCAUCUUGAAGAGAUUUUUACCAUUUUGCCUGCCAUUCUGCUAUGCUUGCAAGGCCAGCAACAGGCUGGAGGUAUAUGUUGCAAAAUCUGCAGCCAUUGAAUGUUGAUUAAUUUACCUGCUGUAUUUGGUUUUCAGUUUUUAGUUUGA